GGGUUAGCUUUAGCCUAGCCAAGGCCUCCUCGCUUGACUAAUUGACUAACUUAAUGUGGUGUGGCAAGAUGCUGCACAGCUGUCUUAUAUCGAGAAUACAUGUUCCCCCUCGUUCUAUCCAUUCCUAGGUAUUUACCUAAAGGGCAGGUUGUCCCUCCAUUUCUCAGGAAACUACAGCAACAUUGUAAAGUAUCUUUUCAAGAGCCACACACCUAUAAAACCAAAGAACUGUCAUGAAUCCUGCAUCUUGAGUCUGUUUUGCCAGUGUUUUGUUUUUGCUCAAACCAGAAGUUUGUUUUUCCUGAGUUUUCCUGAACACAUCCCGGCUGAGUCUCCAACCACUUACACCUGCUGCGAUCUGCACACCCGGUCCUGAUUACCAUUCCCUGCACCAUAUAAGCCGCGACCAGACAUCCAUUACCUGCCGGAUCGUUAGCGUAACCUUUACUCACCUGGAUUGUCACUCACACCUGCCUAGCUGUCUACUCCACUGCAGCACAUUUGGAUCAGCACAGAAACCUCCCGUCUUCCAGCCUCACUCCCUGCCGUCCAACUGGACCUAAUCGUUUUCCACAUUCAAAUUCCAAGUACUGGCAUUCUGGACAGCCUGAUAACUUUAAGAAUCAGGAGGACUGCGCUGAGAUAUACUAUGGGGAACAUAACUCAUUUGAGACAUGGAAUUAGUUGAAUUGUGGGACAACACUUAACUGGAUUUGUGAGAGAGUGGUUUAAAAAUGACCUGUCCCUUUCUGUCUCUCAAGUUGUUAUGAAUAAAUAAAUAUACCUCCCAUUUAUAUACUUCCCAUUUAUUUGACAAUAAAACUAUUGAGCAUUUAGUCACAGAGAAAGAGACAGAACCAGGCAAAACCAACAAUAUAACUAGACCCUGAGAAUUAACAUCACUACUUACAGUAACAGUCAAAUAUUCAGACUCACUGUUAUAGAAUAGAGUGUUGUGCUUCUGAUUUGCCUGCAUAGCAACAAUUAUGUUUAAAUAGGUUAUUGCUUUGCUGAUGGAAAAAUACAGAAUUUGUUCCUGUGAGAAGCGAUACAUGUUGUUCUAGUAAAGUGUAACAAUAUAACUUGUGGCUGACAGCUGUACAACCUGUAACCACUGGAUGGGCAAAGAUGUUAGAAAAACCAGCUAGAACCAGAUAAACUUUGUCUAGGUGAAGUGUAACUGUUGUUAAGUAUAAAUGUUUUUAUCACACCAUAUUAACAGUACAAGAAAAUUUCCUUCUUAGCUGUACUUUCUGAGAUUUCACUGUCUCUCUGCU